CCAGUUAAAUUUGAAUUUCAGAAAAACAACCAAGAAUUUUUUAGUAUAAGUAUACCCCAUUAAUAUUUAGGACAUACCUAUGCUAAAAAGGUAUUUCUUAUUUUUCCAAAAUUCAAAUGUAACUGGAUGCCCUGUA
rnacentral:miRNA from 1 species